CGGCCGUGGCUUGUUUGACGGGUUUGGAUGGGAGACGUGACGGAGCAGCGGUGUCCGGCAGCCAGAACCAAACUAACGUGCUCCAUCCACUGCAGCCGCAGAGGCAAAGCAUUGCUUGGUUUUGUUUACAUUAGUGGAAAUUAACGGCUUAUUAAGCAUAUGGAGACUUUUCAGCAGAUUUGGUGCAGCUGUUCCUAUACCACUUGAUUAUUGCUUCCUGCACAUAAAGAGUUUGCAGUGCUCAAAUGUAAGCAGACAAUAUAAGGUAAGAAAUACCAGCACAAUUUGUUGUGUACUAACACCAGUAAUCUACUAAUGGGAACAAUAUCGUUUGUCCUAAGGUAUUUUGUGCUUAUUUAAUGAAAACUGAGAUGGUGCACACCAACACUUGUGGAAUCAUUCAUGCCAGUGCAAUGCAAAAUUCAAGCUCUAGUUUGCUCGGUUGUUAAGCUGAAUUAUUUUCUCAGUCAGAAACAGAACAGAAAUUGAUGCAAAGCUAUGUGAUGAAGCU
rnacentral:lncRNA from 1 species